rnacentral:rRNA from 1 species
UACGAAGGGGGCUAGCGUUGCUCGGAAUCACUGGGCGUAAAGCGCACGUAGGCGGCUUCUUAAGUCAGGGGUGAAAUCCUGGAGCUCAACUCCAGAACUGCCUUUGAUACUGAGAAGCUUGAGUCCGGGAGAGGUGAGUGGAACUGCGAGUGUAGAGGUGAAAUUCGUAGAUAUUCGCAAGAACACCAGUGGCGAAGGCGGCUCACUGGCCCGGUACUGACGCUGAGGCACGAAAGCUAGGGGAGCAAACAGG